CAGGGAGACAACAAAAUGUUUAAUAUUAUUAUUUUGUCACCUUAGGUCGAUCGGUAUCUCACAUUUUUAAUUUAUUAAGAAUUUCAUUUCCUAAGUUUUUCUAGGUCACACCCAUUAUUUUUCCUGGGCCAUUAGCUCAGGUGGUUAGAGCGCACCCCUGAUAAGGGUGAGGUCCCUGGUUCAAGUCCAGGAUGGCCCAUCUCUCUAUGUUGGGGGUAUAGCUCAGUUGGUAGAGCGCCUGCUUUGCAAGCAGGAUGUCAGCGGUUCGAGUCCGCUUACCUCCACUGAUUACCACCUCUUCCAUAAUCUGUAGAAAGGAAAUGUUUUGAGUUGUGAUCAAUUUCUGAACGAAUCUAGCUUCCUAAUGUAAUCAUUAAGAUGCUGGACUCAUUGAAUUAAUUUCAUUGUUUUCAGAGAACCUUGACAACUGCAUAGAUUAUUUUUAAAGACAAUAAGCAUCUUUAAUGAUGCAGAUUUAUUAUUUGUGCGAAUGCAUUAAUAACAAUUCUAUUAAGCUGAUGCUUCAA
rnacentral:tRNA from 1 species